rnacentral:misc_RNA from 1 species
GCAAACUUGGUCAUUUAGAGGAAGUAAAAGUCGUAACAAGGUAACCGUAGGUGAACCUGCGGUUGGAUCAUUAUUGAAAUCCAAACUUAUUUGAUCGUAAGCUUUGAAAAUCCUACAUUACGUAGUUUUUCAUUCUUACCUCAAUACCCCCAAAAACCUUUACGAUCACUUUCUUUUUCUCUUUUGCAAAAAAGGGGGAAAGAAUAGUGUUGUGAACCCUUUUUUUCAAAAAGGAAAACUUUCUUUAUUUGGGUACUUUUCCUCUCUCCUUGGUAAAACAAGAAAAAGAGGGAGAUGCCCUAUAAAGUCGAGGUUUCCUUUUUUACUCAAACCUAGAUAAACGUUUGUUUUAAAAUAAUUAAUGUUUUAACAAGGUAGACUCUUUUGAGUCUCACUUAACAAAAAACAACUUUUGACAAUGGAUCUCUAGGCUCUCGCAUCGAUGAAGAACGCAGC